rnacentral:rRNA from 1 species
AGAGUUUGAUCCUGGCUCAGGACAAACGCUGGCGGCGUGCGUAACACAUGCAAGUCGGACGAGGGUAGGUGGUUCUUCGGAGCGACCUAGCCGAGUGGCGGACGGGUGAGUAACACGUGGAUAACCUGCCCUGGUGUGGGGGAUACCCUGUAGAAAUACGGGCUAAGACCGCAUAUGGUCGCUGGUGGGGAGCUACCGGC